GAAGAAAGAAAACAGGAAAGAAUAUAAGCCUUCUCUGUUUCUCAGAGUGGGGUAGCACCUGAGUCAAAGCUGAGAUUAUCAGAGGUUGAGAUGUCUGUCAUCACCGAAUUGUGACAAAUGCAAAAUUCCCUAUUUAAUGGUCCCUGCCAGGCCAUCCACCCCAACCGCUUCCUGCUGACCCUCCAACCACAAAGCUUUCUGCCCUAGGGGGAAGCCUUGGGCCUCUGUGGAUACACUUACUGGCUUUGUAGAUAAGCACCAUCAGGGCAAGAAUCCCAGCGAUCUUAUUCAACUCUCUAUGCCAUCUGACAUAAGGUAAGUGCUCAGUUAAUAUUGAUUGAACAAAUGAGCAUUGAGUGCCAACUAUGUACCAUACACUAUGUCAGGGAUUGGGGUUACUAUGAUGAAUAAGACAUGGUCCCCACACUUGAGGAACU